UCGAACGAUGAAGCUUCUAGCUUGCUAGAAGUGGAUUAGUGGCGCACGGGUGAGUAAGGUAUAGUUAAUCUGCCCUACACAAGAGGACAACAGUUGGAAACGACUGCUAAUACUCUAUACUCCUGCUUAACACAAGUUGAGUAGGGAAAGUUUUUCGGUGUAGGAUGAGACUAUAUAGUAUCAGCUAGUUGGUAAGGUAAUGGCUUACCAAGGCUAUGACGCUUAACUGGUCUGAGAGGAUGAUCAGUCACACUGGAACUGAGACACGGUCCAGACUCCUACGGGAGGCAGCAGUAGGGAAUAUUGCGCAAUGGGGGAAACCCUGACGCAGCAACGCCGCGUGGAGGAUGACACUUUUCGGAGCGUAAACUCCUUUUCUUAGGGAAGAAUUCUGACGGUACCUAAGGAAUAAGCACCGGCUAACUCCGUGCCAGCAGCCGCGGUAAUACGGAGGGUGCAAGCGUUACUCGGAAUCACUGGGCGUAAAGGGCGCGUAGGCGGAUUAUCAAGUCUCUUGUGAAAUCUAAUGGCUUAACCAUUAAACUGCUUGGGAAACUGAUAGUCUAGAGUGAGGGAGAGGCAGAUGGAAUUGGUGGUGUAGGGGUAAAAUCCGUAGAUAUCACCAAGAAUACCCAUUGCGAAGGCGAUCUGCUGGAACUCAACUGACGCUAAGGCGCGAAAGCGUGGGGAGCAAACAGGAUUAGAUACCCUGGUAGUCCACGCCCUAAACGAUGUACACUAGUUGUUGGGGUGCUAGUCAUCUCAGUAAUGCAGCUAACGCAUUAAGUGUACCGCCUGGGGAGUACGGUCGCAAGAUUAAAACUCAAAGGAAUAGACGGGGACCCGCACAAGCGGUGGAGCAUGUGGUUUAAUUCGAAGAUACGCGAAGAACCUUACCUGGGCUUGAUAUCCUAAGAACCUUUUAGAGAUAAGAGGGUGCUAGCUUGCUAGAACUUAGAGACAGGUGCUGCACGGCUGUCGUCAGCUCGUGUCGUGAGAUGUUGGGUUAAGUCCCGCAACGAGCGCAACCCACGUAUUUAGUUGCUAACGGUUCGGCCGAGCACUCUAAAUAGACUGCCUUCGUAAGGAGGAGGAAGGUGUGGACGACGUCAAGUCAUCAUGGCCCUUAUGCCCAGGGCGACACACGUGCUACAAUGGCAUAUACAAUGAGACGCAAUACCGCGAGGUGGAGCAAAUCUAUAAAAUAUGUCCCAGUUCGGAUUGUUCUCUGCAACUCGAGAGCAUGAAGCCGGAAUCGCUAGUAAUCGUAGAUCAGCCAUGCUACGGUGAAUACGUUCCCGGGUCUUGUACUCACCGCCCGUCACACCAUGGGAGUUGAUUUCACUCGAAGCCGGAAUACUAAACUAG
rnacentral:rRNA from 1 species